AGACGUCUACAUUAGAUACCCCGUAGUCCCAGCCGUAAACUAUGCGCGUUAGGUGUAUCGGUGACCACGAGUUACCGAGGUGCCGAAGGGAAACCGUGAAACGUGCCGCCUGGGAAGUACGGUCGCAAGGCUGAAACUUAAAGGAAUUGGCGGGGAGCACCACAACAGGUGGAGCCUGCGGUUUAAUUGGACUCAACGCCGGGAAGCUCACCGGAUAGGACAGCAGAAUGAUUGCCGGGCUGAAGACCCUGCAUGACUAGCUG
rnacentral:rRNA from 1 species